AGUGAACGCUGGCGGUAGGCCUAACACAUGCAAGUCGAACGGCAGCACAGUAAGAGCUUGCUCUUACGGGUGGCGAGUGGCGGACGGGUGAGGAAUACAUCGGAAUCUACUUUUUCGUGGGGGAUAACGUAGGGAAACUUACGCUAAUACCGCAUACGACCUACGGGUGAAAGCAGGGGAUCUUCGGACCUUGCGCGAUUGAAUGAGCCGAUUUCGGAUUAGCUAGUUGGCGGGGUAAAGGCCCACCAAGGCGACGAUCCGUAGCUGGUCUGAGAGGAUGAUCAGCCACACUGGAACUGAGACACGGUCCAGACUCCUACGGGAGGCAGCAGUGGGGAAUAUUGGACAAUGGGCGCAAGCCUGCUCCAGCCAUACCGCGUGGGUGAAGAAGGCCUUCGGGUUGUAAAGCCCUUUUGUUGGGAAAGAAAAGCAGCAGGUUAAUACCCCGCUGUUCUGACGGUACCCAAAGAAUAAGCACCGGCUAACUUCGUG
rnacentral:rRNA from 1 species